UUCAAGAUAGCUGAGUUAGUAGAGCUUGAGACUCUUAAUCUCAGGAUUGUGGGUUCGAGCCCCCCACUGGGUGAAA